rnacentral:piRNA from 1 species
UCUUUGGAAGAGAAAAUUAAGUUGG